CAGCCGCCACGGUAAUACGAAAGGUCCAAGCGUCACUCGGAAUUACUGGGCGUAAAGCGCGCGUAGGCGGUCUUGUAUGUCGAUUGUGAAAGCCCCGGGCUCAACCUGGGAACUGCAGUCGAAACUGCAAGACUUGAAUGUUGGAGAGGUUGGGGGAAUACCUAGUGGAGAAGUGAAAUUCGUAGAGAUUAGGUGGAACACCAGAGGCGAAGGCGCCUGACUGGCCAAACAUUGACGCUAAGGCGCGAAAGCGUGGGUAGCAAACAGGAUUAGAUACCCGAGUAGUCCCUGUCUCUUAUAC
rnacentral:rRNA from 1 species